UACGGGGGGAGCAAGCGUUGUUCGGAUUUACUGGGCGUAAAGGGCGCGUAGGCGGUCAGCACAAGUCAGUUGUGAAAUCUCCGGGCUUAACUCGGAAAGGUCAACUGAUACUGUGCGACUAGAGUGCGGGAAGGGGCAACUGGAAUUCUCGGUGUAGCGGUGAAAUGCGUAGAUAUCGAGAGGAACACCUGCGGCGAAGGCGGGUUGCUGGGCCGACACUGACGCUGAUGCGCGAAAGCCAGGGGAGGCGAACGGG
rnacentral:rRNA from 1 species